UCUCCUCGUAGCUGUUGCAGAAAGGUGACUCAUAAGACACUGAAGAGGAGAAGCAAUAUAUUUGGGACUUGGGGUGCUGGGAGUCCCUGGGUGCUGCUGCAGUUAAUGACUGAUCCCCCUCCCCUUCUCAUAUACUGUCUGGCACUGGGCACCAUUAGAUGUUGAAAUGUAUUGACUGACUAAAUGAUGCUUUUCUAAACUGCUCGUCCCAUCCAGAAUCCUGUAUCAAAGGGGCCUUUAUGAACAAUGGCCAAAAUAAGACAUCUCAUCUUCAGUGUGAUAAAGUUGCAUUUCAAAGAUGUUGGAAAUGAUGGAUCAAUAAACAUAAGACAUCACCAAUUCUAGCUCUUCCUUAGAGAGAAAAAGUGGGGCCAGGAAUACAUGAUAUUGUUUCAUUUCAGUUUUAGUUAAAAGCCUUCAAUGAUGCAAGAGAAUAAAAUAGCUUUUAUGAAUCUGGAACUAUGAAAUUAAGUGUAGUAACUUCAUUUUUUUAACUUUUUGAUACAUGUGACCCUACACUUUCAAAACAGUUUGCAUGCAAAUGCUAGAAAUUAACUCGAAUUAAGGAAACACAAUGUGGUGUUGUAUGAUGUGGGGGAAGGAUUUCUUGUUAGGAAUGGGUGGAUCACAUGGUCCUGGGUUAAGUGCAGGAUGCUCCCUUGCUGCUGUAUGUGCUUACUGUCAAUAUUCAUCCAUGUUGCAAUUUCCAUUUCAAUUCCAAACCUCAAAAUUGCUGUGCUCUUGUAUAAUACACUCCUGGCACUAAAUCGUGCUACCUACUGAUGUUUAGUGACCUGAAUGAAAUUGUUUUGAUGUAAUUGACUGGCAUGCUUUGUGCGUAGCAAUAAGUCUGUUCAGCAAAGGCUAUAUUAUGUUUUUAAGUCAUAAAAAAAAAAAGACUUGUCUAUUUAAGAUUUUUAAAAACCAUGCAGGCCCAUCGAUUUCAUCCACAACAAGAGGUAAAAUAGAUCAAAAAAUACGCAAACUUAAAAGCCAGUGCUCUAAAAUGGCACUUCACUGGUUCUCCCUGUUUUCACAUUAUAAACUGUAUUUUCUCCUAUUCUGAUAGAGUUCUCUGACCAACACUGUGCUUCUCUGAACUGGGAACACAGCUUUAGCUCUCUUUUGGAAGUAGGCUGGGUACAGUUGCCAAAAAGAAAUGCUCUGUACAGCAAUAAGAACAUGCAAAGUGAUGGGUAUAAGUUGUUUAUUUAAAGUCUGUACUGCAUACAAAGCUUACUGUUUAGAGGUGCAUCAGCACAGUAUUUAAAACUUUUUUGGAAAAUUUUGUUGGCUUAGAUUUAAAUGUAUCUUCCGAUCCUGCACCUGUGUUCUCAGUGCCAAUGAUUUCCGUUAUAGUCAUCACAAAAUAUUUUGUCUUCACGAAGAAAAGUAAUUGGUUGUUUAUAUUUUGUCAGCUUUGAGAGGAUGUUUAUAUCAUCUGGCUGGUGGGGGGAAACAGCAGAGUAAAGGGAAAUGGUGAAGCUCCCUUACUUGGGAACCAAGUAACAGAUGGUAGAGGUUGAAUCCUUUUUUAAUGGUUUUCUAUCAUAAUAAACAACUACUAUUGCUCUCUUUCCCUCACAGGCUUCAAAGCUGGUCCUCUGAUUGCUGGCUUUGAAGGAUAAGGAUGAAGGGAUGUGAUUGCACAAGAGUAGGAAUCCCAGACCCAAUUCCUACUUUCAUUACAUGUAUUUCUGUGAGACAGCUUGUAAUUCUGGUUAUUAAAGAGAAAGACUCCCUAUGGCAUGACUGUUUCUUGCUGUCUGGCAUACUGGACAGGUCUCUUGUGUUAUUCAGCUUCUAGGUGAUAACCAGAUAUGUUUGAAUGAAGGGAUAAGUCGCUGUUCGUCAUUCACCACUAUGAUGCAUUCACCUUCUGGCCUUGAUAGCCAUGAAAGGUCUGGUAGCUCCCUUCAGGCUGUUAUUUACCCUCUGGAAAAGAUCCCAUAUCUGUCUUAA